UACGAAGGGUGCAAACGUUGCUCGGAAUCAUUGGGCGUAAAGCGCACGUAGGCGGCUUCGCAAGUCGGAUGUGAAAUACCUAGGCUCAGCCAAGGACGUGCAUCCGAAACUGCGAGGCUUGAGUACAGAAGAGGAUCGCGGAAUUCCCGGUGUAGAGGUGAAAUUCGUAGAUAUCGGGAGGAACACCAGUGGCGAAGGCGGCGAUCUGGGCUGAAACUGACGCUGAGGAGCGAAAGCGUGGGUAGCAAACAGG
rnacentral:rRNA from 1 species